rnacentral:rRNA from 1 species
AUGUCGUCGUGGCUGCGCAGCGCGGUGAGCCGGGCGGUGGAGGCCGGCGGCCGCAGCGGCGUCGCCCGCGCCGUCAAGGGAUACGCGGACGCCGUCGCGCACCACGCGGGGCAGGCCGUCUCCGACAUCCUCCUCGACCGGGGGGGCACACAGAGCUUCAAAAGUUUCAAGAAAACAGUAAUGCGAUUAGAAGAGGCAGCAGUUUCAUGCCGUGGGGGUGAAAGAAUUGAAUUAUUAAGACGUUGGCUGGGAGCAUUACAAGACGUUGAGGCUCAACUUGCUAGUUCAGAUAGGAAGGAUCCUGAUGUUCAUGAUUCUGCUGGUGAAUUGGAUCCUUUAAAACCACCAUUGACCUUGUUUGUUGAUCCUGAUAUUGAAGGAGCACCUAUGAACUUCCGUGAUGUGUUCCUGUACAGCCAGGCACUUGAAGAUAUUACCCAAUCCAUGAUUCUUGAAGCUCCAUCUGAGGAAGAAGUUUCACUUCUUCUGGAAAUUUAUGGCCUGUGUCUCACUGGUGGGAAAGAAGUCAAUAAGGCAAUCAUGAACAAUGUACAAGACUUGGCCAAGGCUUUCUCAAAUUACAAAGACGAAGUCCUGGUGAAGCGUGAAGAGCUACUUGAAUACACGCGGAAUGUCAUUUCAGGACUUAAGAGAAAUGCUGAUAUUAUGAGGAUAGAUGCUGAAACCCUUGAAUUGUGGAGAAAAUUAGAUGGGAAGGAGAAAUCAUGGUCCCAAUCAACUGAAGGUCAAGAUAAAGCAUCAGAGAAGAUUGCUGUUGCCAAUAUCGAGGCCUUAAAAGAAGCACUUACUGAAGUCCGCUUUUGCUCUAGAGUGGAAGAACUUCUACUGAAGAAGAAAUCGAUUGCUCCUGGAGAUUCCAUGGAGAUUCAUUCUCAGAAGGUUGAUAAGUUAAAGGUCCUGUCAGAUUCCCUUUCUACUUCAUCCUCCAAAGCAGAGCAGCGUAUUAUGGACCACAGGCGUCAGAAAGAAGAUGCUCUGAACUUUCGUGUGAAAAAAGAGAAUGAGGUGAAUGCGGCUGAGAAGGGAUUGCUUGCUGAGAUUACUGAAUUGGAGAAGCAAAGAGAUGAUCUUGAGGCUCAGUUGAAAAAGGUCAAUAUAUCAAUUAAUGCUGCUGCUGUGCGGCUCAAGACAACCAGGGAAGAGAGAGACCAAUUUGAUGAAGCGAACAACCAGAUCAUAUUUAGUUUAAAAACAAAGGAGGAUGACCUCUCGAAAUCCAUUGCCACGUGUAAUGUGGAAGCAAAUGUAGUAAAGACCUGGAUCAAUUUCCUCGAGGAUACCUGGCAGCUACAGUCCUCAUAUAAUGAACAGAAGGAAAAGAAAACAAGUGAUGAAUUGGAGAGAUGUGUGAGAGAUUUUCUGAAGUUGACCAAGCAUCAUCUUUCAGCCUUCAAGGAAGUCCUAAGCCCAUCUAUUGAAAGUAUCCAAACAUAUGUGGAUAAUUUGGCGGCCUUGAACUCAAGGGAGGAGACAAGAGAGCAUGAAGAUGAUGAAGCAUCAGAGAAGACAAACCCACGUAAAUCCCUUGAGGAGGAAUAUUUGGAAACUGAAAAGAAGAUUAUCAUUGCUUUCAGCAUCGCAGACCACAUAAAGAAGUUGUUCUAUUCAGAGCAUGGGGCUAACUCCAGGAGAGAUGACCCAGAGGUCAAGAGCCUAACUGACGAGAUCGAGAAACUGAGGGAAGCAUUUGAAUCUAUAGAAAGGCCAACACUAAGCAUUGAAGACCACAAAUCAAAGCCACUCCCUGAGGAAAGAUCUGACUUGAGCCCUUCGCCUAUCCAAGCACCUGUUACCCCCAAAGCCGCGCACGUCGACUCCCCAAAAUCUCCCAUGAAGCCUGAGCAGCAGCAUCAGCUGGAUCCCGAUUCUGAAUUUGCAAACCUGGGAGCAGACUUUGGGAAGGACGGCAAAGAUUACUCAGCCGAGGAAAUCAGCGGGUGGGAGUUUGACGAGCUCGAAGAGGAGAGCUGA